CCUACGGGUGGCAGCAGUGAGGAAUAUUGGUCAAUGGACGAGAGUCUGAACCAGCCAAGUAGCGUGAAGGAUGACUGCCCUAUGGGUUGUAAACUUCUUUUAUAUGGGAAUAAAAUGUUCCACGUGUGGGAUUAUGUAUGUACCAUAUGAAUAAGGAUCGGCUAACUCCGUGCCAGCAGCCGCGGUAAUAAGGAGGAGGCGAAGGUUAUCCGGAUUUAUUGGGUUGAAAGGGGGCGUAGGCGGGAUGCCAAGUCAGCGGUAAAAAUGCGGUGCUCAACGCCGUCGAGCCGUUGAAACUGGCGUUCGUGAGUGGGCGAGAAGUAUGCGGAAUGCGUGGUGUAGCGGUGAAAUGCAUAGAUAUCACGCAGAACUCCGAUUGCGAAGGCAGCAUACCGGCGCCCUACUGACGCUGAGGCACGAAAGCGUGGGUAUCGAACAGGAUUAGAUACCCGAGUAGUC
rnacentral:rRNA from 1 species